rnacentral:rRNA from 1 species
AUUGAACGCUGGCGGCGUGCUUAACACAUGCAAGUCGAUCGGUAACGCGGGGGCAACCCUGGCGACGAGAGGCGGACGGGUGAGGAACGCUUGGGAAUCUGCCCAUCAGCGGGGGACAACCCGGGGAAACCCGGGCUAAUACCGCAUACGCUCCAAGGAGGAAAGCCGGGGACCGCAAGGCCUGGCACUGAUGGAUGAGCCCAAGUCGGAUUAGCUAGUUGGCGGGGUAACGGCCCACCAAGGCGACGAUCCGUAGCUGGUCUGAGAGGACGAUCAGCCACACUGGGACUGAGACACGGCCCAGACUCCUACGGGAGGCAGCAGUGGGGAAUAUUGGACAAUGGGCGAAAGCCUGAUCCAGCGACGCCGCGUGGGUGAAGAAGGCCUGCGGGUUGUAAAGCCCUUUCGGUAGGGACGAAAGCCUCC